rnacentral:rRNA from 1 species
AUACGUAGGGGGCGAGCGUUGUCCGGAAUGAUUGGGCGUAAAGGGCGCGUAGGCGGCCCGGUAAGUCUGGAGUGAAAGUCCUGUUUUUAAGAUGGGAAUUGCUUUGGAUACUGUCGGGCUUGAGUGCAGGAGAGGUAAGUGGAAUUCCCAGUGUAGCGGUGAAAUGCGUAGAGAUUGGGAGGGACACCAGUGGCGAAGGCGACUUACUGGACUGUAACUGACGCUGAGGCGCGAAAGUGUGGGGAGCAGACAGGAUUAGAUACCCUGGUAGUCCACACUGUAAACGAUGAAUGCUAGGUGUAGGGGGUAUCGACCCCUUCUGUGCCGCAGUCAAAACAAUAAGCAUUCCGCCUGGGGAGUACGGCCGCAAGGUUGAAACUCAAAUGAAUUGACGGGG